rnacentral:rRNA from 1 species
GACGAACGCUGGCGGCGUGCUUAACACAUGCAAGUCGAACGGAAAGGCCCUGCUUUUGUGGGGUGCUCGAGUGGCGAACGGGUGAGUAACACGUGAGUAACCUACCCUUGACUUUGGGAUAACUUCAGGAAACUGGGGCUAAUACCGGAUAGGAGCUCCUGCUGCAUGGUGGGGGUUGGAAAGUUUCGGCGGUUGGGGAUGGACUCGCGGCUUAUCAGCUUGUUGGUGGGGUAGUGGCUUACCAAGGCUUUGACGGGUAGCCGGCCUGAGAGGGUGACCGGCCACAUUGGGACUGAGAUACGGCCCAGACUCCUACGGGAGGCAGCAGUGGGGAAUAGUGCACAAUGGGCGGAAGCCUGAUGCAGCAACGCCGCGUGCGGGAUGACGGCCUUCGGGUUGUAAACCGCUUUCGCCUGUGACGAAGCGUGAGUGACGGUAAUGGGUAAAGAAGCACCGGCUAACUACGUG